rnacentral:rRNA from 1 species
GUCUAUGGCCAUACUACUCUGAACUCAUCCGAUCUUGCCUGAUCUUAUGAAGCUAAGUAGGGUUGGGCCUGGUUAGUACUUGGAUGGAGGAAGAACUUUUUUGCAUUCAAUAACA